CUUCUCUCAGCUCCGCUUAGCCACAUUCUGUGUGUGGUGGGUGUAUUUUCAGAGAGAGAGAGGAAGGCCCUCCUAAUGCACGACAGACUGGCCCACAGUGGCCUGUUUGUUCCUAGGAGCGCAACAGCC
ensembl:snoRNA small nucleolar RNA, H/ACA box 10